GGAAUUUUGGGCAAUGGGCGAAAGCCUGACCCAGCAACGCCGCGUGAAGGAUGAAAUCCCUCGGGAUGUAAACUUCGCAAGAACGGGAAGAAUAAGUAAGAGCUAACAUCUCUUACGAUGACGGUACUGUUUGUAAGCCCCGGCUACCUCCGUGCCAGCCGCCGCGGUAAUACGGGGGGAGCAAGCGUUGUUCGGAUUUACUGGGCGUAAAGGGCUCGUAGGCGGCCAACUAAGUCGGAUGUGAAAUCCCCAGGCUCAACCUGGGAACUGCAUCCGAUACUGGAUGGCUUGAAUUCGGGAGAGGGAUGCAGAAUUCCAGGUGUAGCGGUGAAAUGCGUAGAUAUCUGGAGGAAUACCGGUGGCGAAGGCGGCAUCCUGGACCGACAUUGACGCUGAGGAGCGAAAGCUAGGGGAGCAAA
rnacentral:rRNA from 1 species